rnacentral:rRNA from 1 species
AGAUAUACGCUUUUCUCUAAGACUAAGCCAUGCAUGUUNAAGUUCAUACGUAGUAAAACGUGAGACUGCGGACGGCUCAGUAAAUCAGUUAUCAUCUAUUUGAUUGUCUACCCAUUGGAUAACCNNNGGGAAAUCUAGAGCUAAUACAUGCAGUUUUGGGCAGCGUUAAAACUGUCUCACGGCAUUUAUUGGACUAAACCAACUACCGUUGCAUUGGUUUACGCUGAUGUAGCGAGUAAGGUGAAUCUAGAUAACUUUUCUGAUCGUAUGGCCUAUAGCCGGCCACGUUUCAAUUGAAUUUCUGCCCUAUUAACUAGUUGGUAGUAUAGAAGCCUACCAAGGUUGCGAUGGGUAACGGGGAAUCAGGGUUCGAUUCCGGAGAGGGAGCCUGAGAAACGGCUACCACAUCCAUGGAAGGCAGCAGGCGCGCAAAUUACCCAAUCCAGACACUGGGAGGUGGUGACGAGAAGUACUAAGUGGUGGCCCUUAGGGUCGCCAGCUUGGAAUGGACGUAAUUUAAGUAAUUCGAUGAGUAACAACUGGAGGGCAAGUCUGGUGCCAGCAGCCGCGGUAAUUCCAGCUCCAGUAGCGUAUUUUAAAGUUGCUGCGUUUAAAACGCUCGUAGUUGGAUCACGCAGUGUAAGUUGGUAGGCUGAUCGAAUGGUGCUACUAACUGCUCCAGCGUUGAAUUUCAAAUUCAGUGUUGGAGUAGUGUGCCGUCUUUCAGUUAUUCGCCAAUUUACACUACUUACGCGUAAGGAUGGCAGUUGCCUUUAGUGCGUCGAUUGCCGUGUCUUACGGAGUGUGCCUUGAAUAAAUCAGAGUGCUCAAAGCAGGCUUUUGCUUGAAUGUUAAUAGCAUGGAACGAANAAUUGUGUAGUAGUGUGUUGUGACAAAUAGCGAUCGGUCUUUGACUGAAUGUUAUUCAGUUACAGCAUACAGCACCAACCACCAAUAACGGAUGUUGGUUCCGUAUUGGGGUGAUGAUUAAAAGGAGCGGUUGGGGGCAUUGGUAUUUGGCCGCGAGAGGUGAAAUUCUUAGACCGGCCAAGGACUAACGAAUGCGAAGGCAUUUGCCCAGACCGCCUCGCUUAAUCAAGAACGAUAGUGGAGGUUCGAAGACGAUCAGAUACCGUCCUAGUUCCCACUGUAAACUAUGCCGACCCGGGAUCAGCAUGAAGCUCUUUAUACGCUUUAUGUUGGUCCCCCUGGGAAACCUCAAGUUUUUCGGUUACGGGGAGAGUAUGGUCACAAGGCUGAAACUUAAAGGAAUUGACGGAAGGGCACCACCAGGAGUGGAGCCUGCGGCUUAAUUUGACUCAACACGGGAAAACUUACCAGGUCCGGACAUCAAUAGGAUAGACAAGACUGAUAGAUCUUUCUUGAUAUGAUGGAUAGUGGUGCAUGGCCGUUCUUAGUUCGUGGAGUGAUCUGUCAGGCUAAUCCCGGUAACGAACGAGAUCUUAUUCUCCAUUUGAUGAGCGGAAGAAGAUAGUGUAGCUCGAUGAUUGUUUCGGCGAUUCUCAAGUUAUUCUAUCGUAGGCAGUGUUUGUGAAUUUAGUGUGAAAAUACAGUUUGUUGCGAGGACGGGAUAAAACUCUUACUUGUUGCAAAUUGUACUACACCUGAGUUUGUUGGCAUUCCCUUCCGUUAUACGCUGUUCAACUACCCAGUUGAGCAGUGUGUCAUGGAGAGACUGUGAGGUAUAUAUCCAAGCUCAAUGAAGCAAGGCCAUAACAGGUCUGUGAUGCCCUAAGAUGUCCUGGGCUGCACGCGCGCUACAAUGAUGGUGACAGCGAGUUUCUAGGUCGAGAGACCUGGGCAAUCUUGUAAUCACCAUCGUGAUGGGGAUUGACCAUUGUAAUUUGGUCAUGAAAUAGGAAUUCCUUGUAGGCACACUUUAUUAGAGUGUGCCGAACGAGUCCCUGCCCUUUGUA